AGGGAAUCUUCCACAAUGGACGCAAGUCUGAUGGAGCAACGGCCGCGUGAGUGAAGAAGGUUUUCGGACCGUAAAGCUCUGUUGUUGGUGAAGAAGGAUAGAGGUAGUAACUGGCCUUUAUUUGACGGUAAUCAACCAGAAAGUCACGGCUAACUACGUGCCAGCAGCCGCGGUAAUACGUAGGUGGCAAGCGUUGUCCGGAUUUAUUGAGCGUAAAGCGAGCGCAGGCGGAAGAAUAAGUCUGAUGUGAAAGCCCUCGGCUUAACCGAGGAAUUGCAUCGGAAACUGUUUUUCUUGAGUGCAGAAGAGGAGAGUAGAACUCCAUGUGUAGCGGUGGAAUGCGUAGAUAUAUGGAAGAAUACCAGUGGCGAAGGCGGCUCUCUGGUCUGCAACUGACGCUGAGGCUCGAAAGCAUGGGUAGCGAACAGGAUUAGAUACCC
rnacentral:rRNA from 1 species